rnacentral:rRNA from 1 species
GAUGAACGCUGGCGGCGUGCCUAAUACAUGCAAGUCGAGCGAACAGACGAGGGUCUUGCUCCUCUGACGUUAGCGGCGGACGGGUGAGUAACACGUGGAUAACCUACCUAUAAGACUGGGAUAACUUCGGGAAACCGGAGCUAAUACCGGAUAAUAUAUUGAACCGCAUGGCUCAAUAGUGAAAGACGGUUUUGCUGUCACUUAUAGAUGGAUCCGCGCCGCAUUAGCUAGUUGGUAAGGUAACGGCUUACCAAGGCAACGAUGCGUAGCCGAACUGAGAGGGGGAUCCGGCACACUGGAACUGGAAAAAGGUCCAGAAUCCUAAGGGAAGCAGGAGGUGGGGAUAUUUCGGAAUUGGCGGAAGGCUGAACGAGCCAAGGCGCGUGGGUGAAGAAGGGCUUCGGAUUGUAAAAAACUUUUAAUUGGGAAGAAAAAAAGGGGGAAGAAACAAUGCAGGUUUGAAGGUAACAAAUCAGAAAGCCACGGCUAACUACGUG